AGUGCAAAACAUUUUAGUUUUCAACACAUGAAUAUGGCUCCAAAGAUGAUGGUUUCUCAUCUUCUUUUGUUGGUUACCGCAAGUAUAUUCUAUGAAGCGGAACCAAGGAAUGUAGUGUAUUUCUAUUGCAACAGUGACAGUGACUGCAACUUUAUAUGUAAAGAUCCAGGUCAUAAGGUUCAACCUUUUUGCUACAAGCGAACAUGUGUGUGUGACCGCCGUUUGUUCUGCACAAAUGCAUUUACUUGUAAAUUUGAAGGAAUCUCAUGUAGAGAUAGAAAUACUCCCCAAUGUAUUAAAUACACCUGUCAAUGCCCUUCACCUUGGUAAAAAAGAAACAAGUUGUGAACUACAAAUAUUCACAAACUCUAUAUGAUCACUAUCACCAAUAAGGUUAAUAUAAGAUAUACUCUUUAAAGA